ACGAACGCUGGCGGCAGGCCUAACACAUGCAAGUCGAACGCCGUAGCAAUACGGAGUGGCAGACGGGUGAGUAACACGUGGGAACGUACCCUUCGGUUCGGAAUAAACUCAGGGAAACUUGAGCUAAUACCGGAUACGUCCGAGAGGAGAAAGAUUUAUCGCCGAGGGAUCGGCCCGCGUCUGAUUAGCUUGUUGGUGAGGUAACGGCUCACCAAGGCGACGAUCAGUAGCUGGUCNGA
rnacentral:rRNA from 1 species